AGGCUGCUGUCAGAGCUUUAGAUACGUUAGCAGACGUGGCUGUGAAGACGAAUGCGACCAAGAAACUAGACCGGUUCUACGUCGCUGGGGGAUCUAAACGCGGCUGGACCACGUGGACAACUGGUGCCGUAGAUCCGCGAGUUAAAGGCAUCGCUCCUAUUGUUAUGGAUCUUCUACACAUGGUCAAGACCUUGCACCACCAAUUCCGGGCUUAUGGCGGUUGGACUUUCGUCUUUGAAGCUUACUACGAACUGAAUUUCACAAGACAGCUGGAUAACCAGAGAACCCAACUGAUGGCUGACUAUGUCGAUCCGAUUUCGUUCAAAGACACUUUAACCAUGCCCAAACUGGUUAUCAGUGCUACAGGAGAUG